GAUGAAGAACGUAGCGAAAUGCGAUAAGUAAUGUGAAUUGCAGAAUUCCGUGAAUCAUCGAGUCUUUGAACGCACAUUGCGCCCCCUGGUAUUCCGGGGGGCAUGCCUGUCCGAGCGUCAUUGCUGCCCUCAAGCCCGGCUUGUGUGUUGGGUCUCGUCCCCCUUCCCGGGGGGACGGGCCCGAAAGGCAGCGGCGGCACCGCGUCCGGUCCUCGAGCGUAUGGGGCUUUGUCACCCGCUCUGUAGGCCCGGCCGGCGCUUGCCGAUCAACCAAAACUUUUUUCCAGGUUGACCUCGGAUCAGGUAGGGAUACCCGCUGAACUUAAGCAUAUCAAUAAGCGGAGGA
rnacentral:misc_RNA from 1 species